CAGUCGCCGCGGUAAUGCGAAGGGGGCUAGCGUUGCUCGGAAUGACUGGGCGUAAAGGGCGCGUAGGCGGUUUGCCAAGUUAGAUGUGAAAUUCCUGGGCUCAACCUAGGAAUUGCAUUUGAUACUGUUUGGCUUGAGUUCGGGAGAGGUGAGUGGAAUUCCCAGUGUAGAGGUGAGAUUCGUAGAUAUUGGGAAGAACACCAGUGGCGAAGGCGGCUCACUGGACCGACACUGACGCUGAGGCGCGAAAGCGUGGGGAGCAAACAGGAUUAGAUACCCCUGUAGUCCCUGUCUCUUAUAC
rnacentral:rRNA from 1 species